ensembl:lncRNA
GAGAAUCAAAGUUAAUCAAUUAAGCUGAAAGGGGAGGAGCCACCUUAAUUUAAAGCUGUACUUUGGGGAAGUUUGACAUACGGUCAAGGCCAAAAACUCUUAAGGUGCUCAUCUUGGAGUAUGAAAUGCAGGACUGCAACAGUGUGUUGAUGGGAAUAGUUUAAAUCUUACUGGAUUAUUUGUACAGCAAUAAAAGUAAAGAUUCUCUGGUGUCAACUAUUCCUUGAACCUUUAAUUUCCAUGGGCCCUUUCCAUUCCUUUAUAAUGGAAGACUUAAUUUAAGUACUGAUCGUGGAAAGGUUCCUUGAGGAACCAAAAGUGGUUCCAAGGCAUGGGUGUUAAAACAUCUUUUGGACCUUUUUUUUUUUAAGUGUAGAGGAGGACACUUUUUAACAACUUAAUGCUUAUAGAUGACCAAUGGUGAGCUUGUCUACACAUCUGCUCUUACCUACACUUCUGAGGUGUUUGCUGGCACUCCGAUUACCCGUUCAGAUGGUGCAGUUAUUGGUAUGAAGCUGAGGAGUCUGCACAUGGCCAGGAAUAAUACCAUUUUAUCCUGAUCUAUUCAAGUGUGUGUGUGUUUGUUUUUUUUUUGUUUUUU